rnacentral:rRNA from 1 species
ACGAACGCUGGCGGCGUGCUUCACCCAUGCCAGUCGCACGGAAAGGCCCUGCUUUUGUGGGGUGCUCGAGUGGCGAACGGGUGAGUAACACGUGAGUAACCUGCCCUUGACUUUGGGAUAACUUCAGGAAACUGGGGCUAAUACCGGAUAGGAGCUCCUGCUGCAUGGUGGGGGUUGGAAAGUUUCGGCGGUUGGGGAUGGACUCGCGGCUUAUCAGCUUGUUGGUGGGGUAGUGGCUUACCAAGGCUUUGACGGGUAGUCGGCCUGAGAGGGUGACCGGCCACAUUGGGACUGAGAUACGGCCCAGACUCCUACGGGAGGCAGCAGUGGGGAAUAUUGCACAAUGGGCGGAAGCCUGAUGCAGCAACGCCGCGUGCGGGAUGACGGCCUUCGGGUUGUAAACCGCUUUCGCCUGUGACGAAGCGUGAGUGACGGUAAUGGGUAAAGAAGCACCGGCUAACUACGUG